rnacentral:rRNA from 1 species
AACGAACGCUGGCGGCAUGCCUAACACAUGCAAGUCGAACGAGAUCUUCGGGUCUAGUGGCGCACGGGUGCGUAACGCGUGGGAAUCUGCCCUUUGGUUCGGAAUAACAGUUGGAAACGACUGCUAAUACCGGAUGAUGACGAAAGUCCAAAGAUUUAUCGCCAGAGGAUGAGCCCGCGUAGGAUUAGCUAGUUGGUGCGGUAAAGGCGCACCAAGGCGACGAUCCUUAGCUGGUCUGAGAGGAUGAUCAGCCACACUGGGACUGAGACACGGCCCAGACUCCUGCGGGAGGCAGCAGUGGGAAGAUUGGACAAUGGGCGAAAGCCCGAUCCAGCAAUGCCGCGUGAGUGAUGAAGGCCUUAGGGUUGUAAAGCUCUUUUACCCGGGAUGAUAAUGACAGUACCGGGAGAAUAAGCUCCGGCUACUCCGUGCCAGCCGCCGCGGUAA